CGCAUGGGCUCGUCCCGCGACAAACCAUUCAAGUUUCUGCCCCAUCAUGCUUUCGAUGGUAGUGUAUUGGACUACCAUGGCUUUCACGGGUAACGGAGGAUUAGGGUUCGAUUCCGGAGAGGGAGCCUGAGAAACGGCUACCACUUCCACGGAAGGCAGCAGGCGCGUAAAUUACCCAAUCCUAAUUCAGGGAGGUAGUG
rnacentral:rRNA from 1 species